CCGGGAGGCCAGAAGAGGGCACUGGAACCCCUGGAACUGGAGUUACAGACAAUUCCCUAGAAAACUCAAAUGGCUCCCGAGAUAUGGAUGUCUCCUAGUGAUGCAGAAUCCAGGGCAUCGUGGUUGGAGUAGUGGUAAUAAGCUAAAGAUCUUGGUUCCUGAGAAGGUGGCAGUAGCAGUCUUGGGCAUCAAGGAGAACAUCUACUCUGGAUGGGGCAGGGUGCAUAUGGUUGCAGGAUUCCUGUUGUCCAGGACUCUGAAGGUCUCAUUUGAUGAGGGUUGCUUUGUUUUUGAGUGUCUUCUUGUCUGGGCUUCUGAAACUCAACACAUCUAAGCACUAACUCAUAUUGCAUCACCCUAAUCUGACUCCCCUCUAGGUCCCUCUAUCAGAUAGAACUGCCAUCCUCUGUAGCAUUUCAGAGAGGAAUCUCAGUCUAUCCUUUGGUUCUGCCUUCUGGCCACCCCUGUUUCCUAGCACGAGCAUGGCAGGGCCAGAUAUCUGGCAGUGAUCUUUCAGCUCUUUCCUUAACACAUGUUCAUCCUUGCUGACAUCAGCGCAUGCCAUCCACAGGAACUGGUUUCUCUAGCUGCUCAGUCCUGAUCAUGAUUUCCAAACUCAGGAUAUAGAAGAUAUUUUUUCUUUUUAUGACCAAAUCCCAAACCUGAUGGAAUAGAGAUACAUCAAUAGAAUUAAUCAGUGUACAGACUUUCUUCAUUUGCUUAGCUAAGUAAGUUUCCUAUCAACAGUUAAAUAUUCUCCUACCAACCCUGGAUUCUUAUCAGGGUUUUAUAGUUUUGAGAUUGGGAUCCAUAAUAUCUUUAACUCAGAGAAGCAGUUGAAAUGGUCAAUCCUUCCUUCCUGAUACAGGUUGUUGCAAGAGGCCCCACCAGUACAACCAGUGAUAGAACAAGCCAAACUAGAGCCAGGCACUCUGACAUCACUAAAUUGAUGACACUGUAUAUGUAAGGUAUCACCUGUCUCUGUGGCUUGCCCAAGUGCUCCAUCCUGCUCUUCUUCUGUGGCCAUCAAAUGGAGUGAGCUAUUUCAUAGAGAUGAUUUAAAGCAGAGUCUAAUAGUAUCUAGUUUGUUCCCACCAGAUAAGUAUCCCAAAGCUGUACUGUCAGUCAUCACCCAGAGGUCAAGGUACCACAAUAAUGAAUUGACAUAAUAGCCUGAUACCAGCUGAGCAUGUCAAUGUUGACUUUCCCCUGUGUAUUCAGGGCUCCUUGGUCUCAGCUGAAAGGCUGACAUUCACAGUGAUGAAUAAGACAUUUUUAAUCACUAGUCUAUGUCCCACAGGCAUUCUGUCGGGGCACAAUUGAAGAUGGUGUGAAGGAGGGUAACAAGGGAAGCCAGGCCUACAUUUCUACAAACAAUACCGCUUGCAGGGAAGGAUUUGCUAAUCCUCUGCCCUUGCAUCUGGGACUAGAUAUUGAUGUGUACACUCAAGCCAGAUUUUUUUCUGCCUUCCUUUGGAACCCACUAGAUCCCAUUUUCAGAAAGAACAGAGCACAAGUUUCUCUGUGUAUUUCCAGAGUAAAACAUUAAUUAUGUAAAUGAUUCACUGAAUUGAGCCUGUUAGGCAACUUCACAUUUCAAAAAAUGAUUCCCAUUUCCUGGAAAUCUAUUAGCAUGCUCUGAAGAGGCUAAUCAUGAAAUUCUCCAUGCCGGGGCUCCAGUGUAUACACUGCUCUUCAGGGUUCUAGAACAACCCUCAGAAUGCCUAUCAUGCCUUGCUUCUUUGAGGUCAAGAUCCAACUGUCCUUUUCCCUUGAUCUCACCAAUCAUUGAACAUAUACCACGAGGGCUUUUAUUUUGAACUUCCGAAAUCCAAGAUCAUGUUAGAAAUGUGGGAAUUUAUUUUUCUUGUGAGUUGUCAUUGCUUCCAACCUUGUAAGAAAAACAAAUUUUAAUUUUUGAAUUGGUGCAUAGCAUAGAUACACUAAGUACUUAAAGAUCACUUAUA